CGGAGCACCCCGGCGGACGCCGCGGUCCCCACUAGAGUAGGAGCCCCGAGCGCCCCAGCCGGCGGGCAGGGGGGCAGCGGGAGGAGCGCGGAGCCAGAGUCAGGAAGCCGGGGCUUGAGGAAGGACCUGCUACUUGACACCUCGGCAAGUCAUUUGUUUGUUCUGUCCUCGUCAUGAAAUAGGGUGGAGCUGAGCACUGAGGCUGAGCAAUGAAGAGGAGCUAAAAAGGACUUGGAAGACUUGGGGAGAGGAAAGUUGGAGGAGGCAUGUGGAGCAGAGACAUGUGAAGAAGAAACAUGCUUGCUUCUUGGCCUUGAACUUGCACCAGGAACUUGGUACACACGGAAGGAGACACUUGGAAGUCACGUAGGUGAUUGUGAUGUUCCAGCAGGAUGGGAAUCCCUGGUAUACAGGAAAGACCCACACACUCCUACUGAGGCCUUGGGUUCUGACAUCCUUCAAACUCUGUGUUCCAGAAACUCAAUUUGCACACCUCUCUUCCUAGAAGACUUGGUUGUUCAACUUUGCCAUCAUUCUUGGGAAGUUUUCUAUCAUGUUGUGGAAUCACAGGACUUCAAAGCUGGAAGAGACCCCCAUCUAUUACAAAAUCCUCAUCCUUUUGUGAGAUGGAAAGGUGGAAGAUACCCAAUAUAUUACCAAAUCCUCAACCUUUUGUAACAUGGAAAGUUUGUGUGAUAUACCAAUUCUAGAGCUAGCUAAAAAAAUAUCAAGAGUAGGACCCAAACCUCCUGACUACUCAUUGAUACCUGCUUAAAGUAUUUAAGAAUUUGCUGUAUAUAUAAUCUAUGUGUACAAAUAGAUGACAUGCAGAUUUAGGUUUAAUACAAAUAUAAAUAGUGCUUUAAGCAGAAUAAUAGAAAAUGUAAUAAAAUUUUCUGAAUAAUAGAAAAUGUAAUAAAAUUUCAGACUAAGGAAAAGUCUCUAAUUUCAAUAAUUGAUUUACUGUCACUCUUAGUUAACAUAAACUUUGUAAUAGAUAUUAACAAAGUAGGUCAAGUUAAAAGCAAAUUGUUUGGGCAAAUUGUUUUAAAAGCUUCUGGCAAUAUAUAAUAUAUUGCAUAGUAGAACACAGUAAAUUGGCUAAGCCAAUUUUUAUCUUCUCAUCAGUAAAUUUUCUUCCAAUAAGUACCAUUAAAUGUCAAUACAAGGUAUACUUAGGUAGGUGUUCCAGCACCAGAACUCAUUGGUUCCAAGUACCAACACCAGUUUGAACUGGAUUAGGAUAGAGGGCCAAUGGCAUUUCUGUGGAGUACUAUGCAUUUUCUGGGAAAAUAUUGAAGUAGCUCAAGAGCACUGAAAGAAGACCUACACUUCUGUGGACCUCAAAACCAGAACCAGAGACCCCAGCAACAUUUGCAUCUUUCUCAGUCCCUUCUCUCAAACCUGUUCCUCUCUGACUUGUCUUCAAUCUGUCCAAUAGCAAACCAGUUCUGUUUUAGACAAGAGUCUGAAGGUAUUGUCCAGCUGAUGAAUUAUUCAUGUAGAAAAAAUAACACUGGUGACUUAUUUUUGGUCAAAUGAAUGUUCAGACUCUGUGGCCAGUAGAACCAGAUUGGCCUUAGGCAUGGAGGGUUGGGUAUAUAACUGGCAAUUCCCGUCAUGGGGAGAAGUCUCCUUCAAAGGACCUCAGGCAUUGCCUGUAAAAGGAAAGAAAGGCUACCAGGCUGACAAAAACAAAAGCUAUUCACCGCAAGGUAUGUUUUCCCUAAAUCUCACAGUAGAAUAGCAAUUUUUUUGAAAUAUUUUAUUAUCCAUUCAAAUAUUAAAACUGUAAUGUAAUUUACUUCUACUCUUAUCAUACUAAAAACCUAGACUCAAGCAACUUUUUUUCUUGUUUGUUGAUGUCCCUUAAAAUCUUAGCCUAGAAAAAUUAUUCAAUUUAUUCAUGAUUAUGAUAUAAAUACAGUUUUGCUUAAUCAGAGCAUUUUUGCUUAUGACUUGCACUAUAGGCUUAAAAAACUUUAUUCCAAUUUAAGAAGGUAAAAGUACUGAUUGCCAAAUUUAAUCUACAUCAUGAAAUAAAUGUUUCUCAUUUAAAAAAGUGUGGUUGUUAGAAAGUUAGUUUGUUACAUGGUUAAUCCAAUAUGGACCUAGGUCUGAGUUAUUAGUAAGACAGAAAAGAAUGCUAAAAGCAAUCUUGGCCCAAGUCAUAAGGCUUACUUUUGUUUUUCUAAUGUGUUCCAUUCAGCAGCCUGAACACAAAGGUCAAGAACAUUUACCUCAGUGGUCAAGCAAUGUGUUCUGCUCUAGAAUCUCAAAAUCUGAGGCAGGAAGUUCCCCUUGAAUGUCAAUUCUCUGGUGAUUAGAAAUGGCUUUUUUGUUUGCCAACACUUUUUUUUUUUUAAACCCUGUGCUCUUGCAUGAAAUAGGGAAAAACCACAUUUUUAAAAAAUGUCCACCCAUGGUCCAGGUUCCUUCCACUCUGUCAUCCUCUGCAGUUUCUCUGGAGAGGUGGUGAACUGGGCUGUGACUUUUGCUGCUGAAUGGCAAUAGUGGAGUCCCAUUGCAUGAUGUGGAGUAGGCAGCAACAACACAAAAGCAAAGAAUUGAUUUGGUUGUGGGAUUAAGUGGAAAAUGGAAAGAAUUGCCUUUUGUAUCUGUGCAACUUUUCCUCUCCUUCUGAAUAAAACAUUAUUAUGUAACA